CAAGACUUCGAGCUUCUAGUCUGAGCUCUUCUUCAUCUGGUGUUGGCUUUCCAUCUUCAAACCAAUGGCAAGAGAAAUACAACAAUUUAGAAUCAGCUUUUAAGGCCUACAUGAUAAUGAAGGAAGGAAGGAUCCCUGAAGAAUUAGCUAGUUAUUUCACUCCUGAUCAAACACAUCUAAAUGAUGCUUCAAGUGUUCCUAAUACACCUUUGGAUGCAAGAGGAUCUUCUGGUGCUAGCAACCCUUAGUUUGCUUAUAAUGUAUUUUAGAUUUAAAGUUUAGUACAAUACUAAUAUUACUUUGUUAUGGAUUUUAUGUCAUACUUUGAUUUACAAUAGAAAUUUGAAUUAUAAAUCUUUGAACUAUAUGCUAUUA